rnacentral:tRNA from 1 species
GCGCCCUUAGCUCAGUCGGUAGAGCAUCUGACUUUUAAUCAGGUGGUCGCUGGUUCGAGUCCAGCAGGGCGCACCA